AGAUGAAGAGAGGGAGGAAAAGACAGCAAGAGAGAGCAAGAGAGUGAGGGAGUGAGACAGAGAGAGAAGGAAGGGGGUGAGAGAAAACAAGAGAGGGAUAGAGAACAAGGGAGGUUGAGAGAGAGAGACAAAACUGAGCAAGAGGGAGAGAGAAAUAGAGUGUGUGAGAGUUGGAGAGAGAGUGAGGAAGAGAGGGGAGAGAAAAAGAGAUUAGGAAAAGAAGGGAGAGAGGUAAAUAAAGAUUCAAAGAGAGAAACAGAAACUGAUAAAAAAAAACUGCAAAACAAAGAGCCAAAAAGUCAGAAUGUAUUAAUAAUAUCACAGAGAGGAACUGGAAGAAUAAGCCUAGUGAUCUUAUCUAAAUAGGUACCAGAGAAAACAGUGCACUCCAGUUUCCCAGAGCCAAGAGCAGAAGACACAAAUGCAUAAUAAUAAUCAUGAGAAAGGUCUGAGAGAUGCAAGUUAGAAACAGGGAUAGUGAUAAAGGAAGGGGAAAGGGGGCAGAGAAGGUAUGUUAGGGGGCGUGCAAACACAAAUAGUCUGUAAGAAAUUAGCUAAUUGUAAUCAAACGCUGCAGGGGAAAGGGAGGAACUGGGAGACAGUCAGACAAGCAUAAAGGAAUAGGGAGGGGGGUACCAGACAGAAAUGCAAAAAAAGAAAUACAAAUAUUGUUAAUAAAGGAGAAAUUAGUUAAAGAGAAAAAAGGCUGAAAAGAGUAAGAGAGGACGGAGAGGAAUAAUUUAUUCAAGUGAGCAAAACUUAGAUUAGUAAGUGAAUGAAACAGAGGAGAAUUCACAGGAAGGAGACAUUCAGCGCAGAAGGAAUGAGACUGACAGCAGCACAGAGGCCACACUGAGGAGGUGUUUGUCCAAUGCCCCAGGAGACAAAUGGUCCUUCCCCUGACCCCUGCGCCCCGAGCCUGAAAUCAGAGCUCCUCACCCUUGCGCAGGGGGAAGAUCUUGAGCUACCACAACUCAAGCCACCUAUUGAUGGCUCUCCUUCAGAAUUAGCCGUCAC